AGAGUUUGAUCCUGGCUCAGGACGAACGCUGGCGGCGUGCCUAAUACAUGCAAGUCGAGCGGAGUAUGGUUUGCAGCUUGCUGCAAACUGUGCUUAGCGGCGGACGGGUGAGUAAUACGUAGGCAACCUGCCUGUAAGAUCGGGAUAACUCACGGAAACGUGGGCUAAGACCGGAUAGGAGUCGGGGAUGCAUGUUCCUG
rnacentral:rRNA from 1 species